CCCACAUCUCCCGGCCACACGCCCAGAGUUCUGUGCCCAUUCCGUUGCUGCAGGAGUCCAAGGUGCAGACAAGGCUGCCGACUGGCUCCGGGCUGAAGGGACCCUGGAGCCAGAUUUGUGUUUUUCCUGGAGGCAGGCAUCUCUCAGUACUUGUGGAAACUGUGCCCAGGGGACACCCUCUUCCCAUUUCAUGGAGGAAGACCCAGAGCCAGGCUGGGAGAGGAGAGAGGUCGAGCCCAGGUCCUCAGGCAUCCGACGCCAGGUUUGCUCUGGCCCGGCUAGCUGCCAGGCAGAAGCAAAGAUCACCCGUAGGAUCAAACAUUAACUUUCCGCCGGACCACC